rnacentral:lncRNA from 1 species
AGUCAUUGCUGUGCACUUGUGGUAAAGCACACCCAGAGCCAUAAAGCAUAGCACCACCAGCUAACUUCGGAUUGGUUCCUUGUCAUGAAGCAGGCAUCUGACCUCCUAGGGACCAAGGCAAGGGUUUCUCUGUGUAGUUCUGACUGUCCUGGAACUCACUCUGUAGACCAGGCUGGCCUCAGAUUCACUUAGAUCUGCCUGCCUCUGCCUCGAUGGAUGGGAGAUCCCCCCCAGCCACCACCCCCCCCAACCACACAACUACCUUCCCGACUGGAACCAUUAAAGACCAGCUUGUCAUUCUGUCAUUUUUUUCUUGGGUCCUUGCCAAGCUCCAGCCAAACAAUGUCUCUCUGUGGAGUGUAUUCAGUCAGUAACAGGCAAGAAUAGCCAAGGAGGGCAAAGGGCUAGUUCUACUGGCCCGUCCAUCCACCGAAGCCCACCACUUGGCCAUGCUCAGGAAGACAUUGCCCCCUCGUGGUUCCUCUUAUAACUGAGCGAAAAGCAGAUUGCAAACACAAUCAAUAAAUCAAAACACAAAGUUUCCGAUUAAUUGUAGCUCUUCUUCUGGACCUUUUCUCCCGCUGUUCCAACGACUCUUGGUUUAUUUCCUCCCAGGAGGUACCUUUGUUACUAUAGAGCGCCGUGGCAGUAUGACAGCAACUUAAAACAGUUUCUUUUAGAAACUUUCCCACAUCUCCAGAUGCCAAAAACAAAACAAAACAAAAAAAC